rnacentral:rRNA from 1 species
UACAGAGGUCUCGAGCGUUAGGCGGAAUCACUGGGCUUAAAGCGUGUGUAGGCGGAUCGGUAAGUACCUUGUGAAAUCCCACAGCUUAACUGUGGAACUGCUUGGUAUACUGCCGGUCUUGAGCCAGCUAGGGGCUACCGGAACAAAUGGUGGAGCGGUGAAAUGCGUAGAUAUCGUUUGGAACGCCAAUGGUGAAAACAGGUAACUGGGAGUGUGCCGACGCUGAGACACGAAAGCCAGGGGAGCGAACGGG